rnacentral:rRNA from 1 species
UACUCCUACGGGAGGCAGCAGUGGGGAAUAUUGGACAAUGGGGGGAACCCUGAUCCAGCCAUGCCGCGUGUGUGAAGAAGGCCUUAUGGUUGUAAAGCACUUUAAGCGAGGAGGAGGCUACUGAGACUAAUACUCUUGGAUAGUGGACGUUACUCGCAGAAUAAGCACCGGCUAACUCUGUGCCAGCAGCCGCGGUAAUACAGAGGGUGCGAGCGUUAAUCGGAUUUACUGGGGGUAAAGCGUGCGUAGGCGGCUUUUUAAGUCGGAUGUGAAAUCCCCGAGCUUAACUUGGGAAUUGCAUUCGAUACUGGGAAGCUAGAGUAUGGGAGAGGAUGGUAGAAUUCCAGGUGUAGCGGUGUAAUGCGUAGAGAUCUGGAGGAAUACCGAUGGCGAAGGCAGCCAUCUGGCCUAAUACUGACGCUGAGGUACGAAAGCAUGGGGAGCAAACAGGAUUAGAUACCCUGGUAGUCCAUGCCGUAAACGAUGUCUACUAGCCGUCGGGGCCUUUGAGGCUUUAGUGGCGCAGCUAACGCGAUAAGUAGACCGCCUGGGGAGUACGGUCGCAAGACUAAAACUCAAAUGAAUUGACGGGGGCCCCCACAAGCGGUGGAGCAUGUGGAAUCACUA